rnacentral:lncRNA from 1 species
CGCUGACGAGUUUGUUAAUUUCUUCUCGAAUGACCUCCCGACGUUCUGGGGCAAACUGUCUUUUCCUCUGCUUUACUAGUCUGGCCCCCGGGCUUAUGUUAAGCCUAUGUACUGCAAUUUUAGGGUCUAUCCCUGACAUAUCCUCAACCUUCCAGGCAAAAACGUCAAUGUUACGAGAUAAGCAACCAACAAGUUCUGUCUUUAGGGUGACGUCAAGAUCCCGACCAAUAGUCACCUUCUUAUCAUGCUCAAGCUCAAUUUCCGUCAAUUCUUCGACAGGGUCAAGUCUGACUUGUUGCCCGUCCUCGGGAUCCAUCCUCAAGAUUUACAUGACGUCGUUAUUUAUUUCCCGAACGCUGGCAACAUAGCAUUGUCUGGCAGCUGUCUGGUCUCCACGGACAACCCCAACGCCAUUACUNNGUUGGAAACUUCAUGGCUAGGUGGAAGGUGGACACAAUGGCUUUAAUCUUGUUCAGGAGUGGUCUUCCCAGAAUAGCGUUAUAGGCCAUUGAGACACGUACCACCUGGAAAGAUGUCAUCUCCGUAAUCUGUUUCUGGCCAGAACCCAAAGUUAGAGGGAGCUCGACGACACCCUCUGGAGUGAUGACUCCUCCCCCAAACCCCUGGAGAGGAGUUUUAACCGCUUUGAGCUGCUGAGAUGAGAUUCCCAUUUUGGCAAAAGCUUCUUGUGAAAGUAUAUUGGCCGCACUCCCGUUGUCAACCAAGAUCCUCUUUACUUCAAAAUUGG